CAAAUUAGGCUAGGCUUGAAAUACUAAACGUGGCCACCAAAAUUCUGGGCCACAGGGAGCCCACAGAAAGGACUCUAAGGUCCCAGAACUACUAGGUUCAAACAAUUCCUUAAGUUCCUUGAAUGUGCACAGCAUAUUCAAGUCAAACCGUUUCAUUAAAAAAUAAAACAUUGAGCACCUCUAUGUUGAAGCUAUUGCUUCUGCAUAUUGUUGUCCUCUCAACAAUCCUAUCAGGUAGACAAGACAGGCACCUUUGGGACCAUGUUACAGAAGCAACGGGUGGCACCAAGGCAUGAGGUGACUUGCCCAGGGUCACAGAGAUAAUAACCGAGAAAGAGUUGGGGCUACAAUUCAGAUCUUCCUACUCCUAGUCCAGGGCUCCGGAAUGACUGCAGGAGCAAAGAUCCCAGCCCUCACCAACUGGCUGGACAGGGGGAGAUUAGCAGCUCCCCAUCUCUUUCUUAUCUCAGCCUGACAGUGGCCUCCACCAACUCUGCAGUUUGUGCACAAGCCCAGGGCUCAGCAAGCAGGCUUGUAAUGGGAAGGCCCACAGCGGCCUCCCACCCACGGUAGUAAUUCAGUAGGUGUGUCUCAGCUGAGGACUUGGAGAGUUGGUUGUGGCUGGGAGACCACUGUAAUACAAAAAUAAGGCGCACUUCUAAGACGUUUGUGUGCAGUUCGGAGGCUUGGCUUAUGCUCUCUCCUCUGAAUCAAAAUUGGAACGUGUCUUCCCAAAGGGGCCGCAUCUGCAUCCGCCUCGGCCCAGCCUCGAAUGAAAGGACCAAGUCUGAGUAGACGAACGUUCGCGGUCUGGGUCACUAAAUCUAGAGCCGUGCAUCCCAGGCCUGAUGGGAAUCCCACCCAGAUGCCCGCAGGGACCGGGGUUCUGUUCCAGACAAUCCUUCCACUCUUAACCCAGCACCACCGCUCUCUUGAUUUCCCCAUUCCUUCCGGAGGGCAACAGAACUACUGGCCCUUUAAAAACUAUUCGGACCAAAAAAAAAAAAAAAAAAAA